CCUACGGGUGGCAGCAGUGAGGAAUAUUGGUCAAUGGCCGUAAGGCUGAACCAGCCAAGUCGCGUGAAGGAAGAAGGAUCUAUGGUUUGUAAACUUCUUUUAUAGGGGAAUAAAGGUAUCCACGUGUGGAUAUUUGCAUGUACUCUAUGAAUAAGCAUCGGCUAACUCCGUGCCAGCAGCCGCGGUAAUACGGAGGAUGCGAGCGUUAUCCGGAUUUAUUGGGUUUAAAGGGUGCGGAGGCGGGGUGGUAAGUCAUCCGGGAAAGGCCGGGGCUCAACCCCGGCCCCGCGUUUGAUACUGGCAGUCUUGAGUUGGGGAGAGGUAUGCGGAAUGCGCGGUGUAGCGGUGAAAUGCAUAGAUAUCGCGAAGAACUCCGAUUGCGAAGGCAGCAUGCCGGCUCCACACUGACGCUGAGGCACGAAAGCGUGGGUAUCGAACAGGAUUAGAUACCCCUGUAGUC
rnacentral:rRNA from 1 species